rnacentral:tRNA from 1 species
GUCAACAUGUCCGAGUGGUUGAGAAAAUACACUCUAAAUCUAUUGGGCUUUGCCUUCGCAGGUUCGAAUCCUGCUAUUGACG